ACGUGUGCCGAGGUCUGGAAAGAAAAACGGCAACUAUCGAAGCGUCCUCUCGCUCGAUCGACUCGGCGGAUUCCAUCAGCGGCCGUCGGCGGCGAUCUCCUCAAGGAUGGCUGGGGAUCGGAUCCACGGGCAACAGCAAGAGGAUCCGCACGGCCGUCGCAGCUGACCUCGGGGUUCCCCUCGGCGUCGCAGCCGCCCUCGCGUCCUCCCCAGUCCCCGUGCUCUCCUGCUGCUGGGCUGGCGUCGAGCGGAGUUGGAACCAAGGUCGAUUUUGCCUUCCCCUUCUCGAUGCUGAAUAUGCAGACUGAUAAGGAAGCAAUCAAGAGUUACAUGCUGAUGCUCACCCUGAAAAAUUACUCUGCUCAUAAUUAAGGAAGUGGAAGCGCAACACCAACUGUUGAUAUGCAAAAAAUUACAGGAAUAUCAUGGCAUGAGCUUACUCGCGCGUACCAUGAAUUGAAGCAUUUGUACAGACAUGUUGUCACUCAAGGCUCAUGAUUAUCCAAAGUCUCAUGUUUAGAAAGGAUCGGAGUAGCAUAAAUAACACAAGAACACAAGGAUGAUGCCUAAGCUGCAGCAGCGACACGAGAUGCAGGGCAAACAGUUAAUUCUUGUAAAUUAUUAACCCCUUGCUUUUGGCUUCCUGCCCUAAUUCUCCUCCCGUCGUCAUCGGUGAUCGACUCUUGAUCCUCUGUGUAGCCCUUGGUGAGGUACUGCUGGAUCAGCCCCACUUCGUAGGCCAUGAUCUUGUCAGUGAUAGCCCUUUUCUGCAUUUGAGCAAACAUAUCUGAAUUUGUUCAGCAAGCAAAGUUCUAGAGAUCGUCGCUUUAGAUAUAUUCGUUAAGAAUGGACGGAGAAGCAAUAAUAGGCUAUACUUUUGAAUUUUUCAUA